ACUUAAGUAGUUUAAUUAAAAACGUAGAUUUGUGGAUUCUUUGAUGUUUAAAAACCUUAAGUU
rnacentral:tRNA from 1 species